AAAAGCAUAACAUAUAAGAUUUGCAAAAUUCUUGAGAGUAGGGAAUGCAAACUGUGAAAAAUAGCUCCAUUGCGUUCUAUUACAGAUGGGAAUAUAUCCACCAUUAAGGCUCUAAAUAUUUGUCAUUAUGGGAAUGUCAACAAAGAUAAUAACUUCAUGUCACUAAAUGACCAGAUUAAUGAUCCCUCUAGUAACAAUGAUGAUUCAUUGUAUUACAAGCUUCAACCAUUAUCCUUCACACCAAAUUCCUAAGUCUGCAGACACAGCAUAUUACAAAUUUCAGGUAGCUACAAGGGUUGCUUGUCCUAGAACAAAAAGGCAAAGCAAUGGAUAUUUCUUGAAAUUCAUGACAUGAGCUAAGGAAAUGUUUUAUUUUAUCAUACAGUUAUAUAUAUAACAAAUGGGAAAAGGAAGCUAAGUGGAGAUCACACCAUUUACAUCCAAGGCAUUUGAGAACUGACCAGAAAAUGUGCAUAUUCAAUAUGAAAAAAGUGUUCACUGUUUUCUCAGACUGCUCCCAUCUUAAUUCCAAAGUUAGACUUGUUCAUUCAUCGUCUUGCUUGGCAAAAAUCAAAGGAAAUUCAUCAUCUUGCUCUGAGAAACC
rnacentral:misc_RNA from 1 species